GAAACUCAGGAGGAAUUUUUAUGGGUUUGAAAUUCAGGUCUGUCAUUCUGGAACGGUUUGGUGUGGAGUGAAACCUCCUGAAAACAUAUCUGCGUCACUAGGCCCUCUCCAGGAGAUCCAUGCCUUCUCAUGGAUCUGCAUUAUGCUGUGUUUUCUGAUGAGUACUAAAGCAAUUAGCCAGAGUUUGGUUUCUCCAAGCAUCUCUUGGCUUACUGGAUUCUAGAUCCAACCAAAAAUACAUGAAGAGCUGAAUUUCAGGGAGAUUUGGGACACAGAGCACAAGAAGUUUUGGCUUGGAGGAAUUUGAAGAUAUGAUGCAGGAAUUGGCUCCAGCCAGUGUAUCUGGCUGGGAGUAGGGCAGACCCAUGAUGAGGCAGACAGAAAAAUGAUUAUUUUUGACUCACAUAAGAGGUCAUCAGGCAGCUAGGACCCAAAUCCAAGGAAAGUAGUGCAAAUCCUGGACUUCUUCCCAUAUUCCAAGUACUCGGGUACUCGGCUUGCCUCAGGCUUGGAAAGCUUCUGUACUUGAGAUCUAUUUGGUUGGAUAUGUACAAAUGUGUGUGUUGUUUUAUUUAGCUGGACGUAGACAAAACCAAGGACAUCCUGAAACUCUUCCUCCUCUGGCUGCUAAGAACACCCAAUCAUGUGAUCCUGUCUUACUUUGAAACCCAUCAAGUGCUAGAGCCAGCCUGGGGGCUCAGUCCUGAGCUCCAGCAUGGAAAUGGCCUGACCUGGAGCCACAUUACGGAUGGAGCCACCAGCUCAGAGUGAGCCUUGUGUGUGCUGGAGGAGAGAGCAUCCCAAGCUCUGGAAGGUCCUGUGAGGGUCCAGGGCCCCUCUUGCCAAUGGCACAGCAGGGCAGUGUGAGGUGGAUGUGUCACCUGACAGAGAGCAGGCUUGGGCCUUCUUGUCGUUUCCAUAGAUGGGGAAAGGAACACGUGCGUCGUUCAGCUUCUGUUGCUCCAUGUGUCGUGCUCCAUUACUCCAUCUCACUCGCAGCCACGGAGCAGGGGGAACACUGCCAAGGCUUUUUCUGGGAAUUUGCUCUGCUCCUGCUACUUCCCUGGUGGUGCUCCACUGAUGUGGGUUGUUUGAAGGGGGAAUAA
rnacentral:lncRNA from 1 species